rnacentral:sRNA from 1 species
GCUUUUUUUUUUUUUUUAACAGGGUCUCACUCUGUUGCCUAGGCUCGAGGGCAGUGGCAAGAUCAUAGCUCACUGCAGCCUCGAACUCCGGGGCUCAAGGGGUCCUCCCACCUCAGCCUUCUGAGUAGUUUGGACUAUAGGUGCAUGCCACCACAUCUGGCUAUUUUUUUUUUUUCAUUUUUAAUUUUUGUAGAGAGGGAGUCUCGCUAUGUUGCCCAGUGGUCACGAGUCUUGGCAAGAAAGUCUGAAGAUGGGACCAGCUGCACAUGUUUUACCCUAAGAGCUUGCUAUAUAAAGGAUACUUUCUGGAAGGCUGGUUUGAGGAUUCAGUCUUGCAGCCACCUGAGACAUCACUUCUGUUCGUAAGUCCCUCUUAUAUAUUUCUGAGAAAAUGGAUUUGUCAACCUCUUUCUUUGGCUUCUCAGCUCCCUCGGCCUUUGGGUUUGCAUACUCCUGCUAUCCGUGGAACAAUGGCUCACAAGGGCCAACAC